CGGGGCGUAGUUCAGAUGGCCAGAACGCUGGGCUGGGGGUCCAGAAGUCGCUGGUUCGAGUCCAGUCGCCCCGA
rnacentral:tRNA from 2 species